rnacentral:lncRNA from 1 species
UAAAAGACAGGAAGAGUGAAAAACAGAACUGUAGAAAAGAUGAAGUUCUAUAAAAAUCUCUAACACUCACAGUAUUACAAUACAGUACCAAACACUAUCUGAAAGAGUCCUCAGUUAACUAAUGAGAAAGAGACCUUAAAAAGAGGGAAAUGGAUUGCUCGGAAUAGCACAAUAAAUAUUCAUGUAAAAGACCCUAUGGAAAAGAACAGCCCAAUAGUCCUAUUCAGUUGCCACUGGAAACAAAUGGGUCUGCAGAGUAGAGGAGCUGGUGAGAGCAGCAUUCAGCUGCUGUUACAAAGUGAAAUCUCUGGUUUCUGGCAAUGGUCUGAGCAUAUGGCUUCUUAGAUUAAGACUUUUACCCUGCUCCCAGCAACUUUACAGAAAUGGCCUUUCAGCCAGUCAGUCACCCCAUAGUCUCAGUCAGGGAUUCUCUUUCACAUCUUACAAAUAUAUUGACAACCUAAAUGUAUUCAUUUUCUUCCUUUCCAUAGGUCUAUGUAAUAUUACUCUUCCAAAGCGUAUGGUAAUGUACAGUGCUGUUCAGCGUAUAAAAGAAAUGGAGGCCAACGCAUUUUCCAUGUUGAAAUUUGAUAGAUUUUUCGCUGAUGCAAAUUGGACCAGGACUGAAGAAGCAAUUAAAAUUGAUUACCCUUAUAAAUUUGACAUAGAGGAAGUUUCCCAAAAUGUUAGAACACUUGAAUGUCCAGAUUGUAAUGCAGAAAUUUCAUCUGAGACAACACCUCAACAAAUUGCUGACAUACUGGAAGAAGCCAGGUUACGUCUUUUAACAGCACAAAUAGUUAGUAUUCAUUCUAUUUGGUUAUAUUCUUAUUUUUCUCGAUUAACACACAUAUUUUAAUUUUAGUACUAUUAUUAUUUAAGGAAUGGGUAUCCAAAUGUGACCUGUGGACCACUUUGGACAUCAAGGCUUUAAAUUGUGGCCUUCAAGGAUGACAGUGUUAAGAAGAAAUGUACUUGACUAUAAACUGAAAAUGUAUACCCUCAGCUAUGUGAUAUGACUUCUAAACUGAAACAUUUGAAUCAGCCCUAUUACUACAAGGAGGAAAUCGAUGGCACUGCUUUCCCAUCUAUCUCCCACUGUUUCCCUUGGAGCCUCAGGAGCAGCUCUGGUGUGAGCCUAGAGUGCUCUGACCAGCAUCUGAGUCCCUUCCUUGUUGCAGCUGCUAAGCAGCUCCCCCACUGGUCCUCUGCUGCAUCCUAGGGAAGGGACGAGAGAAUAAUUCUGGCUUGUGCAUUAAUUUCUUUCUUGCCAGGCUUUGGGAAGCACAGAGGUAGCAUGAUAGAAGUUUGAGUGCAUCUAUAUUGGCCCUGUGGUAGUAUCUGUCAAAUGAUGGCUCCUUUCCCCAAUGCAGCCACCCAGGGCAGCCCAGGAGAGGAUUAGAAAAGCUGAAGCUGAGAACCCACAACUGAUUAUGGCUCCCAGAUUCUCUGCCCUACCUCAGGCUAGAGAAUCUUUGCUCCAGCUUGAUUCAGUCCUCAAGAGACCAUACUCCAGCAAGGAAUUGUCAAGAGUGCAGCACACACCAGCUACUCUCCCCUCCACAUUCCCUUUUACAUCAGGAGCUGCAGGCAGGGAGGCAUAGGAUCUGAAUUCAGUGGCUCUAUAUCCACUGAGGACUCUCGCAUAUAUGGGGGACUUACUGAUAGUUUCUGCUCCCUUUGUGUUGUGUGAGUGGAGUAGGAUAGAGAAUCCACCUCAAUGUACUGAUUGUGGUCCCUUGAUCUUUUUGAAAUAUGUUUGGCUGUCCAGCUGAAAAAGCUGGGCUUCACUGAAUUAAGGAUAAACUUAGAAUCUUUUUACCUUCCAAGACAUGUGCUGAAAGAUCUGAUUUUCCGCAUAACACUUAUUGGCAGUACUAACACCUAAAAUAAAGCAGUAUUUUCAGCUUUCCUGCCUUAAGUA